AAUGGAUUGUCCCAAUCCCUGCUCGUGGGUUUUCCAAUGUCCCAAUUUUAUGCUUGUUGUUAGGACUUAUAAAAGCUUACUGGGUUUGUUUUGAAGACAAGGGAAAAAAUAACAUUACGCUAUUUUAAAUGCCUGCAACUAUUUCAAAUAUGACCCAAGGCAGUAAAAAUGCCAUAUUUCCCAAACCACAAACCCCACUCCUUGUUAAAAUCCAAUUGCCAUCUGAGUGUGGGAUGAAGAGUCAGGAUGCCAAACCCUGAGUAUCACACAUGUGAUCUUUCUUUGGGGGAAAUCCUGUGAAAUACGGCUGUGUCCACGACUUUCAUUUCUGCGUUUCACAGCCGAACUUCCUAAAACUGCUGAAAAACCAUACUCCAGAGGUACAGCUUCUAGACCCCCACUACAGCUUGACCUGAAGGAACAGGGCUUGGUGGAGAAUGAAAAGGGAAUGCAAAUCAGUUCUGAGAGCUCUCCUUUGAGAUAUCAGAGAUGGCAAAACACAGUGCACAGAAGUGGCUGAUGGAGCAUCUAUGGCACAGAGAAGGCACUCACUUUAUCUGGAGUCACACAGCAGGCCAGUCCUGGAGCCAGAAAACAGACAAGUCUGAUUUCCAAAGGCAACCAAGCCAUGGCAGAAACUCAAUGUGUUCUUCUCUGAAGGAUAAAACAAGUGAACUGUAGAAGAGCGUUCAGAAAAACCAAGGGUGAGAUUCUCUAAAAGAAGUGCCAGUAUGAAAAAUUUUUCACCAUCAUCCUAACGAAAGCCCUCUUAUAUGGGUAAUAUAAGUCCUCAACUGCUUUUCUGAAUCUCAUCACUGAUGGUUUCGCAGAAUGUAUCCUUUGAAAAUUUGCUUUGCGU
rnacentral:lncRNA from 1 species